UCUGUGUGGCCCUGAGGAUCGAGGAGAGGUAGAGAGAAGCUGAAGAAGCCAUUGACUUGUGAAGAAAGAUUAGACUAGGUAUUUGCAGGAAGUUUCCUGACGCUAAGAGGAGGAAAACAACAAUAACAACAGUGGCCAGAGACUGUCUCCUGAAAAUGUGCAGGCAGGAUAAUGUGGAGGCCAAGACAAAAGUGUGAUGCUCUCCAGCCGUGCCUCAGAACAGGAGCUGAUGAUGACAGUGAGCUGUUGCUAUUUCUCUUCCAAGGUUGUUUCAAUAUGCAAAAUUUUCCCCUUUCUUGGUUCACUUGGUUGUCUUAGUGAAGCACAUAUUCAGUAACUUCUUGGAUCCGUGGGAGUGGAUGUAUCUGAGCAGCAGUGAUCUGAUCUUCAAUAGGACAUUCUCCCUCUAGAUCUCAAUUUCAUCAUUACUGCCAUGAUGGUUUUGGAUUACUUAUAAGGUUUCUCAUGGAAGCCAUGUGUUAAAGAUACUGGAACCACAAAACAGUAGGAAACUUGGUCCCUGAAUCACAUCUUGGAGGAGAGCUUUGUGCCCGUUAGGAACUGUCCUUCUGGAUUUUCUGAGGUCUGUGAGUGGGAAAUUCUCUUAGUCUUCGUUUGAAAAUGCCUUUAUCCUCACCUUUGAAUGCUAGUUUAACUGGAUGGAGAAUUUCAGAUUAAUGGAUAUUUCCCCCCACUGUUUUGAGGAUAUUGUUCCAUUAUCCUCCAGCAUCUACUGCUUGUAAGAAGAAGCCAGCUUUGUCCAUAUAUCAUUCUUUGUAGGUAGUGUGACUUUUGCACUCAUUCUAAACAUUCCUAGAAACCAGGUAAAAAUUACAAAUGAAAGUCCCCAUACAACAUGUCUUAAAAUUUUUAAGUUCAAAAACAAGCUAUCAACUUAUUAAAUGAAAUAUAUUCUAUCCUCUUAUCUUGAUAAAGAUACCUUUUUAAGGACCUGGAUGACCAAGCCUUGAAUUUAGGACUCUUAGAAUCCUUGAGAUGGUAGGGAGAGAUCACCAUCUUGGUUCCUGCCUCACAGCUCACCCUCCAUGUUUUCCAGUCUGGGCUUCAUCCCACACUUCAAGGGGCUUCACACACAUACUUGUGGACACUCCACUUCCAAGCCCUACAAACAGCCACUUCCCAGACACCCCGUGGCCCAAAGGGUGUGCAGUCUGUUCUUGGGGGUUGGAUAUAGGGAAGAAGCUCAUGAAGGUCCUGAAAGUGGGUUGGAUCUGUUUGGGCAGGGAAUGCUAGGGUCCUUUGUCCCUGGAACGUUGUUUGGAGGAAAAGGGCAAACUUUGGGUUACGCUUCUUGACAUUGCGAUAGCCUCCUUAAUGGCUUCCUCCCAUCCAAUCUGUUCUCUACACUGUAUUAGAGAGAAUUUUAUUUUAAUGUAAGCCACAGCAUUAUACUAUCCCCUAAAAAAUCCUUUAAAGACUUCCUAUUGCAUUUGAAAUAAAAUCCUUUAAAAGGCUGCAAAGCUCUAAGUGGUACUUCAGUGUGCCAAGCUCUUUGGGAAGAGCCUUCAUCUAAGAUGUUUCUCUUUCUGAAACACACUUUCCUACCUGCUCCUCGCAUGGUUGACGUCAGUCUGUUGUAUCGCUCCUGGCUUAACUGCCACCUCCUCUCCAAGUACAGCUUCCCUGUUAUUUGCUUUCACUGCAUUUUGUUUACUUCCUUCAGAGUACAAACAACAAAUGUAGUCACCUAUUUUUUCCCCAUACUGUCAUCUACACAAGAGAGACUGUCACAUAUGAGUCAAUUCUGAGAUGGAGAUUAGCACAUAGUAAGUUACUUGGGAGUACUCUACUCAACCCCUGUUGAACAAAAGAAAGUAGGAUGGGGCAGCAAUCAGGCAGUGGAUGCUGGCUGCCCAAAAAGAGGCCUGACUUUGGGUAAAGUAAAAUUCUCUUCAGCCAAAGUGCUUCCUUAAGAGGGCUGACAGCUUUGUUCUGGAUUAGGCAGCAUAGCACCCAAAUAAAUGGUCCAUGGCUUGUGCAGAUCUGUUUUCCUUACAUGACUUCUGGAAGUAGCUUCUGCAGAAUUCUGGCAGACUUGUUCUGUGGGGAAAACUUAUAAAAAGAAGGUUGGUAAGGGGAACCACCCCCUGUUAUUGCAGCUGGUAUUAGCCUGCAACCAAUACUCACCCUCUCUUCUGUGGUCCAUUCUAGAUGCUCUUCACUCUUGAUGAACAGUGCUGAAGGCUUAGGUGACUUGCCUAGUGGAGUGACAGAUUCUUAAAACUGAUGAGUUCCAGUUCCUGUUUAUCAUGUCCUUCUCAGGCUGCACCUGCUACGUCUGUCCAUUUGCCAUCAAAAUUGCACAAGUACUAAAAGAUGUCCUGGUUGAUUACCUGGUGAAAAUGAAGAUCUUUUUCUUGCCUGCUGGUCUUUGGCAUGAAGGGCUCAAAGUACUGGGUGGUGAUAUAGUUUAAAGUUCAUUGAAGACUCUUGUUGUGCUCUCUGGUAGAAAUGUUUUGCCUUUGGGAACUAAGACCUUUAAACCUGUGGUUACACUUGUGAGGAUGAAAAGCAUAAAUUCCUCAAGUGGGUCACUCGGAUUGAUGGUACAUAGGGACGCUCCUGCUUCCAUACCUUUGAUUCCACUCCCAGUUAUUCUCCUAUGAGGGAUACAGCAUCAUAUAAUUGUGAUUGAUAUAGAGCAUGACUGUUUCUGGAAGGUAGCACUUUAUCCUCACAGGGUAUCAUCUCCAAGAUGGUAGUUUAACCAAGCUUUCUGGUGGUAUGCCAUGUGAUAGGUCCAAUGGUGUCUAUGGUCAUAUGCCCACUGCUACAUUUACUUUGCUAUGUAGUGGGUUCCUUGGUCAGAUGCAGCAAUAUGUGCGAUGCCAUAAAGGUGGAUCAAAUACAGUAUAAUCCCUUGGAUAGUCAUGUUGGCUGAGACUCAGCAGACAGGAAAGACAAUCUAUAGAAUAUGUGUCUAUUUAUGUUAAAGUGAAUGACUACUUCAUCCAGGGAGAAGGAGUCCGAUAUGGUCGCCUUUUCACCAAGUGGCUGUUUGGUGUCUUCAAGACAUAGUGCAGUAAUGAGUCUCAGCAAUAGUUCCUGUUACUGGCAGGUUGAUCACUUGGCUUUGGGAUUAACCUUAGUGAGUGGGAGUUCAUGCUGGUGGGCCCAAGAAUAGCCUUCCUCCUUGUUACCAUGUCUUCUCUAUUCAUGAAUCUAUUGUGCCAGUACUGGGGUGGCUGAUGGAAAAGCUGGCUGGUGCCAACUGGUUAAGUCAUUCUACUUGGGUGUUUAAUGCCUCUUCAAUGGUAGGUGCUCUCAGAACCUGUGAAGGAAAGGGACGGAAGCAAGACUGGGCAGAAAGAGAAAAUGGGCUUCAGUACUUCACAGCCAGGCCUCAGCCAACCCUGUGGGAAGUUCGAAGCUGGGAUGAUUCUUUGGAAUCUUCCCUUGUUGAGGUAACAUCAUCUUCAAUAUUCCAAACCGAUGAGAAUAUUUUUACUAUCCCCCUCAGCACUGUGGUGUCAUUCCAAGAAGUCACCAGGAUACAUUCUAAUAUCCAGAGGAUCAAUUCUGCUUCACAGUGAAUUGCAUCCAAAAUUCUAGCUCCCUGGAAGACAAAAGACCUCAUAACUCCUGUCAGAAGCCGGUGGCUUCCUAAAUGAACCAUGUUGCUCCUGAUGGUGUUACCAUUGCUAACAAUAAAAGUGUAUUACUUUUAUGCGGAAGGUGAUCUUAUGUAGGAGUGACAUAGCACUCACGAGAGGUGCUGUGCUUGGAAUGGUCUCAUGCUGGUCUAGGGGCAGAGUGGGCUUAUCUCUUGAUGCCAUCUGUUCAGCAUAGCAUCUGCCUGAAUGCAGAGGAAGAAAUCAAUCAGCACAGUACUUUACUACUUUCCUUCAUUUAGCC